UACGUAGGGUGCGAGCGUUGUCCGGAAUUAUUGGGCGUAAAGAGCUCGUAGGCGGUUUGUUGCGUCGGCCGUGAAAACCUGCAGCUUAACUGUGGGCCUGCGGCCGAUACGGGCAGACUUGAGUUCGGUAGGGGAGACUUGGAAUUCCUAGUGUAGCGGUGAAAUGCGCAGAUAUCAGGAGGAACACCGGUGGCGAAGGCGGGUCUCUGGGCCGAUGACUGACGCUGAGGCACGAAAGCGUGGGUAGCAAACAGG
rnacentral:rRNA from 1 species